CGCCUUUUGAAAAUUAUAAAAGGUAACGCCUGCCCAGUGACCCUGUUUAACGGCCGCGGUAUUCUGACCGUGCGAAGGUAGCGUAAUCACUUGUCUUUUAAAUAAAGACUUGUAUGAAUGGCAUCACGAGGACUUAACUGUCUCCUUAGUCCUAUCAGUGAAACUGAUCUUCCCGUGCAAAAGCGGGAAUAAAAACAUAAGACGAGAAGACCCUGUGGAGCUUAAAACAUAAACUAACUAUAUUAACUAUUAUAAAUAAAUACUAUAUUUCUAUAGACUAGUCAAAGUUUUCAGUUGGGGUGACUGUGGAGAAAAACUAAUCCUCCAUGUAGAAAUAAGCUUUGAGUUACCUCUCUUAGCAUUAGCAAGCCUAACUUUACUUGAUCCAAUAAUUUUGAUCAACGGACCAAGUUACCCCAGGGAUAACAGCGCAAUCCAUUUCAAGAGUUCAUAUCGACAAAUGGGUUUACGACCUCGAUGUUGGAUUAGGACUCCCUAGUGGUGCAGCCGCUACUAACGGUUCGUUUGUUCAACGAUUAAAGUCCU
rnacentral:rRNA from 1 species